AUCGAAGUGGCUAAAUCCAAGCACCCAGAUGGACUCCAACAAGCUCCAGCAACAACACACACACACAUAUACACACACAUAUACACACGGAAAGAGAGAAUAGAGGUCACGUCAGGAUACACGCACAGUAAAUCCAUUGUGACUGGCUGUCUCUUUUCAAAGAUUUUUCAUUGCUCUCAGACCUUAUCAACCUCGAGCACACAGCAGAGAAAUACUUGUGAAACAAUUAGUCUCAUAUUUAAAAGAGAGACCAGGCUUUAAAAGCAGCAUGAGUGGCUGUUUUGAAGCAUACAGGGAAAGAAAUUAAUCAAUGUGCAGAGAUUGAAUUUGAGAAAUCGGCUGCUUUCUUUCAUCACGUAUAAGAGUUGCAGUCAUUGUUGGACUCCCAUCCAAAAUCUACCCAAAUGCAUUUGGUCAAAUUCAUUAUGUAAGUAGAUCGCUCUCUUUGUUAAUGCCUUGAUGCAAAAUUUAAUUAUCUGGUACAAUUGAAGAGUCUGUAUCAGGAUAAAAAUGUUCAUGCAAAAGCUUGUGGUUUCAGAACAUGUUUUCAAGUUUUUUGCAACAAAAACUCAAAGACUUCUUUGUUGGGUAACAGGUGGUGGUGGGCAGAGAGGAGGGAGGUGAGUCUCAGGAGGCAGAACAGGACAUCAAAAGCUGUGUACUGUAAUAUAAAG
rnacentral:lncRNA from 1 species